AAAAGGGGCUUACAUAUUCUGGAAUAUGAAUAUGUAGAUAUUUCACCUCGUCACAAGAUGACCAGGGAGUUGUGGAAAUUACCAGAUAUAUUCAUCAUUUGCUCUGUUUUGAUCACAAAAUCAACCACGGCCCAGUUUCCGAACUUUUAUAUCCAAGCUAACGACAGUCUCAUAACCGCCGGCGACACAGUGGUCAUCAACUGUUUGCUGUAUAAUGCUCCCCUGAUCGAUAUAAUCACGAAUCGUUUCACGAUCACGUGGUUAAAAGAUGAAGUCAAACUUACGCAAGGGUACACAAGGCUGACGGAUGACGUCAUCAACGACCAGCGAUACAGCGUCAAUAUACAUGUGGGAGACAAUUUGAAAAUGGGAAUGGUGUCCUCCAUGCAAAUCACAGGUAUCACCAAAGAAGAUGAAGGCACGUUCACUUGUGAACUUACGAACAGAAUGAACGCUAAACAGAGGAAAUCAAUAUCUAUAAGCGUUGACGAUCCAGAAUAUCAAACCCGAGGGUCUGAUAUUGCCACCGUUGUUUUUGAUUCGCGACUCGACCGCAACAAAAUACAGAUUGGUCUGAACGCUGACGACGAAUCAAAUACCCAAACUGCAAAGCAGCCGUAUGAAAACACUUCAAUUUUGUUCACAAAUUGGACGGAUGCUGAAGAACACAACAGCAUUACCACUCCAACAGAAAACAGCAUUACCACUCCAGCAGACAGUAGCAGUACUACUCCAGCAGACAACAACAUUACCACUCCAGCAGACAACAACAUCGACAUUCCAGCAGACGGCAACAUUGUCACUCCAUCAGACGACAACAUUACCACUCCAGCAGGCAGCAACAUUAACACUCCAGCAGACAGCAACAUUACCACUCCAGCAGACAGCAACAUUACCACUCCAGCAGGCAGCAACAUUAACACUCCAACAGACAACAACAUUACCACUCCAGCAGACGGCAACAUUAACACUCCAGCAGACGGCAACAUUAACACUCCAGCAGGCAGCAACAUUAACACUCCAGCAGACAGCAACAUUAACACUCCAGCAGACAACAACAUUACCACUCCAGCAGACAACAACAUUACCACUCCAGCAGACAACAUUACCACUCCAGCAGACGACAACAUUAACACUCCAGUAGACAGCAACGACAUCACACCACUAUUGAUGUCUACUGAUGCUAUUGUAGAAAACACGUCCCUUGCGACAGGGAUAGAGAAAAAAGAAGACGAGAAUGACGUUCUUAUUGCAGUCAUCGUUAUGUUGCCAAUUUUCAUAUUAGUGGUGAUAAUAUUGUUUUGCUGUUUCAGAAAAAGAUACAACUUAUAUUGCAAAAGACCACAUGCAUUAGGGUAUAUGCCCGACCAUCAUACGACGUUAGCAUACUGCUACGACUACGGGAAACCUUCGUGAUAGCUAAGUGGUAGAGCUUUUAACCGGGAGGUCGUCAGUUUGAGCCCAGCCCGUUCCACAGCCGCAUCAGACCGAAAAUUCUAAAUAUAGAUACAUGUAGGUAUUGCUCCUUCACCAAAGACGCGGCAUAUAGAAGUGAGAAUCACGGGUUUUUCUUAGAAACAGAAGUCUGGUUCGCGACAUGAGUUAGUAUGUUAUCGAAUCCUCACUGCUACGGCUUUGGGUUCUAAGCAUAGCUCUAAACAUGUAGCACUUCACCUGAGCUGAUGACAGUAUUUUAAUUAUUGAUUUCUUGUAUACAUGAUUCAUGUUAUGACGUCAUACCAAUUUUUUUCUUUUGUCCCCUUGCUAUGAUACAAAACGUUCUGAGGAAAAUAUCAAAAUAAGUUUCAAUAAUGUCAAAAGUAGUCCCCUCGCCUUUCUGCUUACCUAAAUGUAUACCCUCGUAAAUAAAAUAUAGAAGUAUUUUAUAAUGUUCUCAGUGACAAGUCAUUCAGUAGAUUUAUUUCAGUAGUACGCGAUCAGAUUGAAACACUAGACAGAUUUCAGUAAUACGCGAUCAGAGUGAGUCACUAGAAUGAUUUCGGUAAUAUGUGAUACGAUUGAAUCACUAGAUCGAUUGCGGUAAUGCGCGAUCAGAUAAAAUCAUUAGAUCGAUUUCGGCAAUAGGCGAUUAGAGUGAACCACUGGAUCGAUUUCGAUAAAACACGAUCAGAGUGGAUCAUUACAUAGAAUCGUGCCUAUCUUGUGACGCGUCUAAUAGACUGUAGCUCUACUGGUUUUACUGACUUAACAGGCCUUCUUAUUUCUCAUUACAGGCAUUGUAUAAAGAUAGGUUUUCUAGCUCGGAAAUCAGUUCCGUGAAAAUUUGUAUUUGUCAUUUUCCUCUAUAAAAAGAGAGAAACAAAUAAAAAACAUAUCAGAAUGACACAGGUAACACACGGCGAGUAACGCCCCCUAUUUGAUAUGUCCUUAUUGACCUUUCACGCGAUUUACACUAACUCUUUGGAAAGGAAAACUAGAACAAUUUAUAUUACAUAUAUUUAUUUUCCAAAGAUUUAUUGAUUGAAUAUUGUUUUAUGUCCCUCUCGAGAUUAUUUCACUCAUAUGGAGACUUCACCACUGCCGUUGAAGGGCUGCAAAAUUUAGGCCUAUGCUCGGCGCUUAUGGCCUUUGAGCAGGAACGGAUCUUUAUCGUGCCACACCUGCUGUAACAUGGGACCUCGAUUUUUGCAGUCUCAUCCGAAGGACAGCCCCAUUUAGUCGCCUCUUAGGACAAGCAAGGGGUACUGCGGACCUAUUCUAACCCGAAUCCGCGUUUCUACCAUAGAACAGAAUAUGACAACUCAACGCCAGGUGAAAAUAUUCAGGAAUAUGGAAAUAUUGAACCGGUAGUUUAUCAGAAUUACAUGUAUCAGGCACAAAUCAGGAAUGAAGAACCAAAGUUUGCCAGAAAAA